UGGGGAAUCUUGGACAAUGGGCGGAAGCCUGAUCCAGCGACGCCGCGUGGGUGAAGAAGGCCUUAGGGUUGUAAAGCCCUUUCAGUCGUGACGAUGAUGACGGUAGCGACAGAAGAAGCCCCGGCUAACUCCGUGCCAGCAGCCGCGGUAAUACGGAGGGGGCAAGCGUUGUUCGGAUUUACUGGGCGUAAAGGGCGCGUAGGCGGACGAUCAAGUCAGAGGUGAAAGGCCCGGGCUCAACCUGGGACGUGCCUUUGAAACUGAUUGUCUUGAGUGCGGAAGAGGGUGACGGAAUUCCCAGUGCAGAGGUGAAAUUCGUAGAUAGUGGGAAGAACACCGGUGGCGAAGGCGGUCACCUGGUCCGCAACUGACGCUGAGGCGCGAAAGCGUGGGGAGCAAACAGGAUUAGAUACCCCCGUAGUCC
rnacentral:rRNA from 1 species